ACACGUAGGGGCCUGACGUUGUUCGGAAUCAUUGGGCGUAAAGGGCGCGCAGGCGGCCGUCCAAGUCCGGUGUUAAAUGGCCGGGCUCAACCCGAUCAUGCGCUGGAAACUGGGCGGCUUGAGUCCCGUAGGGGAUGCCGGAAUUCCAGGUGUAGGGGGGAAAUCUGUAGAUAUCUGGAAGAACACCGAUGGCGAAGGCAGGCAUCUGGGCGGAGACAGACGCUGAGGCGCGAAGGCGCGGGGAGCGAACAGGUUUAGAUACCCUGGUAGUCCGCGCAGUAAACGAUGCGCACCAGGUGUCGGGCGGCAGCGCCCGGUACCGGAGCUAACGCGAUGAGUGCGCCGCCUGGGGAGUAUGCCCGCAAGGGUGAAACUUAAAGGAAUUGACGGGG
rnacentral:rRNA from 1 species